rnacentral:rRNA from 1 species
GAUGAACGCUGGCGGCGUGCCUAACACAUGCAAGUCGAGCGAACGGAUGAGAAGUUUGCUUCUCUGAUGUUAGCGGCGGACGGGUGAGUAACACGUGGAUAACCUACCUAUAAGACUGGGAUAACUUCGGGAAACCGGAGCUAACACCGGAUAAUAUUUUGAACCGCAUGGUUCAAAAGUGAAAGACGGUCUUGCUGUCACUUAUAGAUGGAUCCGGGCUGCAUUAGCUAGUUGGUAAGGUAACGGCUUACCAAGGCAACGAUGCAUGACCGACCGGAGGGGGUGAUCGGCCACACUGGAGCUGAGACACGGUCCAGACGCCUGCGGGAGGCAGCAGUAGGGAAUCUUCCGCAGUGGGCGAAAGCCUGACAGAGCAACGCCGCGUGAGUGAUGAAGGUCUUCGGAUCGUAAAACUCUGUUAUUAGGGAAGAACAUAUGUGUAAGUAACUGUGGACAUCUUGACGGUACCUAAUCAGAAAGCCACGGCUAACUACGUG